UUGAGAGAAUAAGAGCCACUAGCUUCUGCGACCCAAAUCAGCUUAUCUUGAAUAACAUGAGAAGACAAAGGGAUAUUGAGAAUUAAAUUCUGAUUGCGGGCAUUAAACAUCGAAUCGAUCAAGUCUUGAUUCCAUAAACCAGUGACAUUAUCCCUUAAGUCUGAAAUAAGAGAAAUAUCAUUAGAAAUGGACACAUCUGAGGAAAUGAAAGGAUUUUCCACAUCAUCCAGCCAAGGGCCAUCCUAAA
rnacentral:misc_RNA from 1 species